UUUAAUUUUUUGGGGAUUUUUUUGGGAUUUUUUGGGAAUUUUGGGGGAAUUUUUUGAGAUUUUUUUGGGAUUUUUUGGGAUUUUUUUGGGGAUUUUUAUCAGAUUUUAUGGGAUUUUUAAGGGAUUUUUUUUGGUAUACUAAUGGGAAUUUUCUG
rnacentral:lncRNA from 1 species